GAUGAACGCUGGCGGCGUGCCUAAUACAUGCAAGUCGAGCGAACGGACGAGAAGCUUGCUUCUCUGAUGUUAGCGGCGGACGGGUGAGUAACACGUGGAUAACCUACCUAUAAGACUGGGAUAACUUCGGGAAACCGGAGCUAAUACCGGAUGAUAUUUUGAACCGCAUGGUUCAAAAGUGAAAGACGGUCUUGCUGUCACUUAUAGAUGGAUCCGCGCUGCAUUAGCUAGUUGGUAGGGUAACGGCUUACCAAGGCAACGAUGCAUAGCCGACCUGAGAGGGUGAUCGGCCACACUGGAACUGAGACACGGUCCAGACUCCUACGGGAGGCAGCAGUAGGGAAUCUUCCGCAAUGGGCGAAAGCCUGACGGAGCAACGCCGCGUGAGUGACGAAGGUCUUCGGAUCGUAAAACUCUGUUAUUAGGGAAGAACAUAUGUGUAAGUAACUGUGCACAUCUUGACGGUACCUAAUCAGAAAGCCACGGCUAACUACGUG
rnacentral:rRNA from 1 species